rnacentral:rRNA from 1 species
UAGUCCACGCCGUAAACGAUGAAUGCUAGUCGUCAGGGGGCAUGCCCUUUGGUGACGCAGCUAACGCAUUAAGCAUUCCGCCUGGGGAGUACGAUCGCAAGAUUAAAACUCAAAGGAAUUGACGGGGGCCCGCACAAGCAGUGGAGCAUGUGGUUUAAUUCGAAGCAACGCGCAGAACCUUACCACCACUUGACAUCACCAUCGCGAUUUCCGGAGACGGAUUUCUUCAGUUCGGCUGGAUGGAUGACAGGUGCUGCAUGGCUGUCGUCAGCUCGUGUCGUGAGGUGUUGGGUUAAGUCCCGCAACGAGCGCAACCCUUAUUCUUAGUUGCCAGCACAUAAUGGUGGGGACUCUAGGAAGACUGCCGGCGUAAGCCGUGAGGAGGUGGGGACGACGUCAAAUCAUCAUGGCCUUUAUGCCUAGGGCUACACACGUGCUACAAUGGUGCAUACAGCGGGUAGCGAAAUCGCGAGGUGGAGCU